AAUGAUGAUUUAGGAUACUGAUAAUAAUUAAUAAGUAUGGUGAUGAUUGGUUUGCUAAUAAUAAAGUUUAGUGAUGGUGAAGUGUUGAUCAUGAAAGCUAUGAGUUAAUUGGAUGGUGAAGGGCAUAUUAAUGAUGGUUAGUAGGUAAAUGGUGAUUAGUUGUUGAUUAUGAAUAAUGAUAAUUUAAUAUGGACUAAGUAUGAAUUAUGGAUAUUUAUGGAAGUUAUGGACUAUGACAACGAAGGUUAGAUGGUGUUGAUGAUGAUGUUAUGGACUCAUAAUGAUGGUAAUGACUACCAAGUGAUAAUGGAUUAAUGAGUAUUGAUAGUUAGACGAUGGGUGGUGAUGGACUAAUUAUUAGUAUAACGAUGGUAUGAUGUGGAUUAGUAUUAUUAUUGAUAAUAACAGUGUUGGUAAGUGAACAAAGAUUUGAUUGAUUCACAGGUUCCCUAUUGAAGUGACUAGUCUAAAAGUUGAACCUUAAAUUGGAUGCUAGCUUUUGGAGCUUUAGCUUUGAGGAGCUGGACUUGUGGCUAGUUAAGAGCGUGGCGUAGAACUUGUAAGCCCCGACCCGAGAAAUGUUCAUGUCAUAGUUUGUGUAGAGUGGACUUGAAUUGUCUUGUAGUUAGUUGUGAUUUGAAUAAAGGAAUAUUGUAAUGGAAGUUGUAAAUAGAAACCUUUGUAGCCUGUGCGUUUGGGCUUAGUUGUGACCCAAGCGUGGUAUAAUACCCCCAGUUUGGUUGUUCGAUUUCGCUUCCGCAUUUGAAACCUAUUGAAAAUCUAUAUGGUAUCUAUAUUUUCUCCUUUA